rnacentral:lncRNA from 1 species
AAAAUUCAAAAAUACAUGAAUUCGACAUUAAAAAAAACCCCUUAAAAUACAUAAAGGCGAAAAUACAAAAACAAUAAACUGUAGUUGCAUUGAAAAAUACAAAAACACUAAAAUUUGAGUGCAUUUGUAUAGAGUAUGAUAUAUUUGUAUCACUGUAUGUGACUCAAUAGCAAAAAAUAAAAGAAAAUUCGCUGGAGAUGACGUCUUUCGGCCAAUCAAAAUAUUGUAUACAUUGUAUUGAAAUUAAAAUGUAAGCAAAUAAAAAAUCAGCCAGAUCUAAGAUUACACUAUCAAAUUGUACCUACUAAAAUUCAGUCAGAUCUGAGAAUGAGGCUUCAAGGCUUUUCGUCACCAGAGACAAACGAAAAUCUGGCAAGAUCUAAGAGUACACUCAUUCGAAAAUCCGACCAGAUCUGAGAAACCUUCACUAUAGCCAACAUUAGCCAGUAUAUGUUCGUUUGCCGGAGCAGACGGAGUUUGAUGGCGGAGUAGCAGCGACGGACGAGACCGGCGGAGCAGUAGUGAUGGAGCAGCAGCGACGGACGAGAUUGAAUCUUUUGGAAAGCAAUGAAAAAAGAGGCGCUUGUGUGUAGUUGAUAUAGGGUUUGAAAAAAGGUAUUUCCUAUAAAACUAAAAAAAUAGCUAUGCAUUAUAUAUAUGAUAAAUAUAGUGUAUAAGUUAGUUAUGGGGGCAGAUAUCCUUGUUAAAAUUGUCUUGUACUUUUCUUGAGUUCAAAUUUCACGUUUAAUUAAUCUUGCAUUGAAUUUCAUAUUCUUGA